rnacentral:snoRNA from 1 species
UGCGAGUGAUGAAUUUUCCAAAUCCAACGCUGAUUCGCUGAUGAAACACACGAAAUCGAGCUUUUUAACCCUGACGCAC